AUCUGAAAAUUUCAGACAUAACUGUCCUGAAAUGCAGGGUGCAGCAAUUAAGGUGAAGCAAUCUAUUUAUUCCCAUCAUCCACCAUCUGAUGAUUUUACGUCUCCACCUAAAGCUGUUCUUACAAAAAAGCGUGCAAGGCCUCUCAAUAUUGUGCUACUCUGAGGGUUCCAGGGAUAGCUGGCACCCGCCUCUGUGGAUAACAACUCACAGGGACAAUGAGAGGUAUACUUGGGAAGUUAUUUGAAUUUGGAGAUCAAAUUUUGCUUUUCUCUAUUAAGUAUUUCUUCCCUAGCUACUCUAGGAUCAGAAAGUGACAAAACAUUUCGCGGUGAAUUACAGUGGUUUAAUGCCUUAUUUUAAAUUUAUGUUUACCAUUUUAUCCUCUUGUUUUUUAUGCUUUAGCUGAGGUUCUAGUAUACAUGAAUGCUUUACCAGCCAUUAGCUGUGAUUAGUGGAGCUGCAGUGAAUGACAGUAAUGUGAGCAGCAUCAAAUGUUGACCUGCUUUUAUCAGAGAGCAGAGAAUGUACAGAAUCAGCUGCAUGCUCAAAUUCACUUUGCUAAAACGCUGGUGUUUUUGAUCCCUACCCUGGAAGCAUGGGUGAUACUUUUUCUCUCCUAAGUAGAGCUUGACUAGGGUCAAGGCCAUGCAUAUCGACAUGGCUGACCAUGUUUCUUGCUUCUCAGAAGCAGAACAUUCCAUGCAUGCAAAACAGUGCGAAAUGGGUACAAAGAGAACUGGGUAAUAGGAACAGCUUGGGAGCAGAAGAGGUGAGCACCCCUAGGUUUCAAAAAUCUCCUCUCCUUUGCUGCUUUUCCUGUGGGCUGCCCUUUGUCCCGGAAGCCAAAGGCCAGCCACGGGUAUUUACAUAUUCAGGUAACACAUUUUUGUGCCGCAGUGAUUUCUUCUUCUCAAGGCAACAAAUCCAAAUGGUGUUCCAGGAGAGUAUUUUCGGUUCCUUUUGAUUCCUCCAAGUAUUUUUAUUUCAAAGGAAAACAGUCCUACUUUUCAACAGAGGGCCUGGCGCUAGACUAGAAUCUGCAGGAUGAUGUUGCUUUCUGCAGUAAUUGAGGAUCAGAAGCCUGGUUUCUCAGGUAUUUUUAUCUUCUGCCUGUGUGUGAAGUCAAAAAUCUUACUCCAUUAAAUAAACACGCAUUGACGUGCUAAUCAGAAAGACAACACUGGCCUUAUAACAGGAGGAGACUAUGGGGAACAAAAGAAUCACACCCUCCACUGAGGACAACCUCUCCGGGGACACCAUAGUGGUGAACAGCAGGAAGUGGGGUUUUUGUUGGGCAGGAAGUAGGGUUUUAUUGGGCAGGAAGUGGGAUUUUCGUUGGGCAAAGGGUUUCCCCAGGCCUUCUGACAUGGCUUCAUGUUCCUCUCUUCAGGUGCCUGGUCCGGAGUGAAGAGGGAGAUACACCCCACAGAAAAAGUGCUUCCUUCACGCGGUGUCCCGGAUUCCUGCGCCGGCGCACAGCUCAGCACGGCGGCCCCAAUCUGCCCAGGACCUGCCCACAGGCGCCUCCUUUCACUGAUUCCACCUCAGAUCCACCUCGUCAGAGGAGGCAGAGGGAAGACUCCGAAGGAGGAAGAGAGGGGUGUGUCCCACGGGGCUUCAAAUCCUCAUGCAUCCCGUUUCCCAGAAUUUUCUGUGAACGUUUGUCUGUCCCAGUGAGAGCUCAUCUUAAUCUUCAUUUGCAGCUUGUUUGGCCUGUGGUCUUCUCACAAGCAGGCAUUUUCUCCACAUUGUCUUUUGAAUCUGGUUUCCUAAUGUAGCCUUUGAGACGUCCUGAGGUGGAAAAUUAAUCUUGUUACUUGAUGAAGAUGGUGUUUGAAAAUCGAUCCCGUGGCCUGGUGUGUUAAGAGUGGUUCCUGUGCAGAACUGUGUCUCACCUGAGGACAGGCAGACUCGGGCUGCCUGGAGAGUGUGGGUUAACCACUAUACAGGGAUGCCUUCAUGGGCUUGGUUCGGCAUAGUUAGACUUCUCCAAAUAUAUAUAUAUAUAUUUCAUCUUCUCCUUUGUUUAUAAACUAGACAUUUGGCUCAGAAGACUGUGAAGUUGAAGCUUGGUUAAAGCUGUUUCCUGCAGGCAGCACAGAAUUCAGACCUUUGUCUGAUUUGUCCUCUGCUUGUUGGGGGACCAGCAGGGUCCACACACAGCAGAGUCAGCUCCGGACAGCAGGAGAGGUUGCAGGGGCUCUAAAAAGAGUUUCUGGCCUCCAUUCUUUCUCAUCAUGAAAAAUACUGUAUUCAGAGUUGUUAACAUUCUACAGUGUGUUAAAGCGUAAGACACAGGUCUCUUCAGGAAAAUGACACGGCAGCUUGUGCUCACAUGAGGGUGGAAAUGACAGGUAUGCAGUGCUGGAAGGCAGUGGCAAGCCGCAGCUCUGUCUGGGGCUCUGCUCCAUGCGGGCUGCCUUCUGUCCCUUGGGGUUCCAGUUUCUCCAUAUCAGAUUCUAGUUUAACUCUUAUCUUUUGAUGCCUGUUCAAAGUGGAAGAUUAUAGGAACUCAGGGGAGUUUUCUGUGUUACAGGAGAGGUGAGAAGAUCAAGGGGGAUGAAGAAAAGGGACUCUGGGCUCCCAAAGCCAGGGUGCCUACUUGCAGUUUAACCUUGCAGACCCCACACCAAGCCUUGGUCUGAGAAGCCCAAUCUGUUCCUCAAAGGAAAGACUGCAUUUACUCAGGAAAAUCUGCCCUGACUAAAUAUGUAUUAAUUUUCGAUUGAAAGGGAAGUAUGAAUAUGUUUGCUUCCUUCCUGGUCAGAAUCUUUCAGCCAGGGACCGUGCUGGCGGACAACAAGACACAAGGCCCUUUAGUCAAGACGCCGAUGGAGAAUUUGCAGGAAAAGCUACAAGAAGAAGAACGUUCAAGGAGAGGCAUGGGCUUUGGGGGCAGCCGGGGUCCUGGGAGACGUUCGGGUUCAAGUCCUAGUUUUGCUAAAUUCAUUAUCAUUUUAGGGCAAGAUUUUCCUUUUCUGUAAAAUGGGAAUAGUAGCAUGUCCCUCCUGGGGUCACAGUGAGGAUUUGGCGAGGAUGUACACACAGAAGCACUUGGCACAUGCCACGUCACCAUCACAUAUGAAAUCCUUUUUCCUUCUUUCUACAGUCACUGCAGAAUCCAUCCUCCAGCCUGCAAGCCACACCCGUGAACAUGCAACCCCUGCUGUACGUGAGCAGAAGGCUGAGGGCGUGGGUGGAAAUCCAUAGGAGAGGACUGUGGUGGUGGACGCAAGACACACCUGAGGGUAUUUCCUGCUCCAGUGCUGAAUGAGUCUCUAUGGAAGUUGCUAAGUGAAGACCUACUUAUGUUGCCUUUUAUAAUAAAGCUACUGUACAGUGUUUAUGCUAAGUCUCUUAAGGGGAUGGUUUAGACUUUCUGCAAAUUGCUACAAUGUACACAGCUAAUUAAUAACACAAGUUCCCUCUGAUGAGGGGGAAAGUAUUUCUUGCCUAAAAAGGGAUGUUGUUUAGUCUUGUAAAACUGUAGUUAUGUCUUCUCUACUCCCUGCCAAGCAAGUCUUCAUAAAAGUUAGAAAGAAUCCAUCUGUUUUCUUGCCACAGACUCUACUUUCUUUGUGAAUCUUAUUUGGAUUUGAAUUCCAAUGAGCAAACAGCAAGGUUUGUGCAAUGUUUAUUAGCUGCUGACUAUGAUGUGGAGGCCAGGUUUUCUUUUCCAUUUUUCCUUUUCAUAUUGUCUUUACUUUGGAGAGACUUUUGAUCUGAAGGAAGCUGAAUUAUGUGUCAUUAGAAAGAGUGACCCUAAGCACAGGUGGUGACUUGAGCUUUUAAGGGGGGAACAUUCUGAAAGUAUCUUCAAAGAGUACGAGUGGGAGAGUUCCAAUGAUGCUUCCCUUGCUUUCUCUCUGUAUAGAUGACCCCAUGCCUAGCUCUUCUUACAGGAAGCGCUUGGCACGUCCACACACCCCUCUCCUUCCCUUACCUCAACCAGACAACUACCUUAGCAGCUCAGCUGUGUUAUUGAGACAUUGCAGCGUGAAAUUUGUUUUUCCUCACCAAACUUUAAGCAGAAUUUCAAGUGCCAAGUCUCUAAAGCCAAGUGGGGCUAUUAAGAGAUAAUUACUAAUUAUGCUAAUUUGAGAAGUUGCUGCUAUUUCCUUCCUGGUCAUUUUAUGUGCAGCUCUCCUGAGAGCACAGUCCCCUCGCAGGGCUAAUAACCUUCCCUGCAAAGUGCUCAGUGGAGGACGGUUUGUCCUAAACUUCCAUGCCCCAAACCCGGGAAGGUUCACAGUUGAGCGGAAAGGGUGGCUUUAGGGGAGUCUAUGUCCUCAUUGUUAAUGAUUUAUACUAGUUAUUACAGCUUCUCACAGGCCAGCAGUAGCUAUUCCUUUAUACUCAGCCCAGAAGAGUAUAUUUAAUUUCUAUCAUAGCUGUGGUUUCCCCCCUCAUCAUCUCUGAGUCUUAAUAAUGGAUCCCAAGCAUUGAAACUGUCCUCAGGGCCCUGCAGCACUGAAUCAGAGGCUGGGGCCUUGUUUGACAUUGAUAAUUACCAUCCUUUCUCCAAAAAAGUUACUAUUUAGAAGAAAUAUAAUGGAUAAGCAAAAACAAUUGACGAAACUCCCUGGGUUUGAGUUGAUCCUGCCACUGGGACACAUGCACCCAGGAGAUAAGCUGGAGGGAUAAGGAUGAGAUGCUUGGGAAUCCAGCCUGCACUUGGGUGCUGGGGGCACCUUCCCCUCCUUCCCACUGUCCCUGCCACUUAUUCACGGCACUCACAGGGCAGGGGAGAGACGAGGCUGGCUGGUAAAUCUGGUGUGCUGACCAACUUAUCUGGGCUCACACCACACUGCCAUGAGCGUGGACUGGAGAGAGGCACCAGGGCUGCCGUUGGGCACCUGACCGUGAGGUCCUGCAGCCUCUCAGCUUUCACACCAUGCUCCUACCUUCAGCUUCGUCUUUACUGGCCAGAAAGACCACCCCAGGGCUUCACCUUCACUCCUUGUCUCAUUUCUCAGCUUGUUCAGGCCAGUGUGAGGAGGAGGACGGCUUUGCACCUCCACAGGUGCUUCCCAGGCCUGUCCGGGGGCCCUGCAGGGUCACAUGUGAUCAACCUAGAGGAUCUGAUUUUUGGCCCAACCAUGUGUACUCUGCAUUUCCAUGUUUGAAAGUCAGUUCUUGCAAACUCUCAGGGCACCAUCAGCCAGUGCCGUGUGUUACUCCAAGACCUGGCCCGUCCUGAGCUUGCCAGGCCCCAAAAUAGGCUCACAAUGGCCGGGGACACCAGCAUCUAACCUCAGCAUCGUCUGGGAUGCCAGACAGCCCCGUCUGGAAGCUCAGGGCUGGAUCUCAGGCAUUAGUCCUUCCUGUUCGCCCAGUGGGGAGCUGACUUACACUUACAACAUGAGAAGCUGAGGACACACUCAAGGUCUCCUAUCUGGAGGGGAACCCGCUGGACACCCGGUGCCAUGGUGAGGCCCCCGCUCUGAAGGACGCACCUAGGAAACUCCUACCCCUGGCCAGGACCAGCAUGGAUCCUGGGAGCACCACCAUAGCUGAUGGGAGCACUGUGAAUGUCGAUAAUUGGCACUGAUUUUGUUCUUCUGCUCUUUGAUAUAGAACAUAGUCUCAUAGGGGAUUCCUUACUAAGGUGUUUUCCUCCACUUGACAAAGAAGAAAAGGUGAGAAUAACAAGAGAGCUGGAGACCUUUAGUGCUGAUUUCCAGCUGUGUGAGCUGAGGUAAUUCCUCCUUUCUCAGGAACACAGUUGUGUCUUGUGUGAUAGCUUCUAACAAAUAGGAGUUACAGGCAUUGCCAAAGCUCUCGAGGCUAAUGACAUUUCUCUUUCCCAUGAAAAUAAGUGAUGAAAGAGUUUCCCUCCUGCCCAGGCGGUUACAGAUUUACAUGUACAGCUUCCUCCUUUAUAAGGACUAGGAUAAGAGGAGGCUCUGACAUUUCCAGGCUAUUCCAGGUUCUAGUAGAAUUCUCAUAGCUGCCUAGAAUUUCAUACAACUCUGAACCAUGCUAUCAUGCCCCCCUGCAAAGCAUCCUGAUAAGGAAUUAAAACCUAGACAAAUUCUCUGGGUGGCUUAUCCAUUUAAUGUUAGAUGGAUGUUGACUUUGGAUUUUCCAGCCUUCUCCAAAUGCUCAUAAUUUUAGUUACUCAAAAUGCACCCAGUAAAAAUACAUUUAUAAAUUAUAAAUGUGUAAGAUACAUUAAGAAAAUACAACAGCUGAUAAUGUUCGAAGCUGUAUUUAAAACAGAUGUUCUCAAAUUCGUGCAUGAAACUUCCUCCAGGACAAAGACCUGACUGACAAUGACUGUUUUCUUUUUAUGACUCAAUAUUUGCUUAUCUCCUGACACACAGUAAUUGCUCAAAAUGCAUUUGCCUAGCAGAAAUGCAACAGUUUUUUUAUUAUGUAAAAAUUACUAUUUUUUGAAAGGUUUCACACAGCUCCAGCAGGCAAAAAUUACCUAGUUUGAUGGCCUCAGUUUUAUACAAAGGUAAGAAGUUACGAGGUGCAUUGCAGAAUUUGCUGUUUUUUUUUUUUUUUUCUUUGUGUGCCUCCUGCAUGAGGAGAGGCUGUGUGGAAGCACAGGGGGCAGGCACACUGUGUGUUCUCAAAGCUGGACUUACAGUCCCAGCUACUCGGAGAGGCUGAGGCAGGAGAACGGCGUGAACCUGGGAGGCGGAGGUUGCAGUGAGCCAAGAUCACGCCACUGCACUCCAGCCUGGGCGACAGAGUGAGACUCUGUCUCAAAAAAAAAAAAAAAAAAAGAAGCUGGACUGGCUGUGGUCUGUGGGGAGCAACCCGGGAGGAUUGGGAAAGCCCCCCUUAUCCUACCCAGAAAGCUCUUCCAGUUACUGAAACCACCAUUACUUUUUCUUUUUCUUUUUUUUUUUUGAAACAGAGUCUUGCUCUGUCACCCAGGCUGGAGUGCAGUGGCGCAAUCUCGGCUCACUGCAACCUCCGCCUCCUGGAUUCACGCCAUUCUCCUGCCUCAGCCUUCUGAAUAGCUGGGACUACAGGCACCUUGCCACCAUGCCCAGCCAAUUUUUUGUAUUUUUAGUAGAGAUGGGGUUUCACCGUGUUAGCCAGGAUGGUCUUAAUCUUCUGACCUUGUGAUCUGCCCGUCUUGGCCUCCCAAAGUGCUGGGAUUACAGGCGUGAGCCACCAUGCCCGGCCACCACCAUUACUUUCACUGCAUUGGUCAAAAAUGAUUUUUCCUACUAACAUGAAGCUCCUUAGUCCUGACAGCAUGGUUUUCAUCAGUCAUGUGUACUUCCCUGUGAAAUAGUCUAUCAAAUCAUUUCCACUUGUCAACUAGCUGACAUCGGAUUUUAAUAGUGGCCAGUUUGAGAAAAAAGAAUAGUUGUUAGGAGACAGGCGAUGGAGCCUGCAGACACGGGGUGCCUGGAGGGUACCGCUCACACCUGGGUGCCGGGGAGGGGACCACACACACCUGGGGAGGUGUGGGUGAUGGGAGGCGAAGGCGGAACCUGCAAAGUCCCAUUCAGUUGAUGUUUCAAGAAAGCUUAAGUGGUUCCUACAGCGCUUGGGAUGAAAUUCUCUGUUCCCCGGACCGGCACCCACCCACCUUACCACAGAACUGUCUGGCCGCGUGGAGAGUUAGAGAAGAACCUUAGAACAUGAAUCCGGGCAGUGCUGCUCCCAGCAUAUUCCAGUAGGAUGGGCAGGGGGCGGAGCUUGGUGAAGGAGGUGGGAAAGGGGCCGGGUGGACUCUUGAUAAACACAAACAGAGCUGCCAUCGCUCCGUGGGUGUAAAUGGUCGCAGCGGGACGGUGCUGCAAGACUUGCUCACGUGGGUUCCAGGGGGUUUCAAAGCGCAUUGGCAAAGCCACAAUACUCUUCUAUUUGGCCAAAAAGCAAUGGGAAGAGAGUGUAGUGAACCUCAACACCUGAGCUGCAGAAGCCUGUUAAACAAGCGCCAUGGCCAGAAUUCCUCCUGCUGUAGUACCUGGAUACCUCCAUGGGUGAAGUGCCAUGCUCCGGUCCCAUGGGGAACAUGGAGAGAACAAAGUCACCCUUGUCACUUAAAAGCAAAUUGUCAAUGUAUUGCAUGUCCUCACUUCCUUGAGGACGCAGAGAAUGCCAAGUUGGAAGAGUCUGGUUACAGACGUACCUAAAAUGAUAUCUGCCAUACAAGUGUGGGUCAGGGUCAGAUGCCUGGGGACCCAGUGGUCUACUGAACAUGCUUCCUGGAGCUCUGAGGGCAAAGCUUAGUUCCUUGUUUUGCAUAAAGAGACUCUGUGUGUGAUUUCACUUAAAAGAUGUUUCAUUGCUUCAAAAAAGAUUUGAUGUGAAAACGUGUUUAGAAAAUUUGAGAGGAAGGUACUCCUUGGACUGGAUUGGUACUAAAGCCAACCAAACAAAAACCAAUGGACAUUUCAGCAGUUUCUAUUUAAAAUUUGACCCCAGGAUUUGAAAUACUACAGUGUUCCACAUGAAUUUUGCACUGGGUGGAGGAAGGUUGGACGAUUUAGGUUGCGUUCGCAGCUGGCAUUGUGAAGCACCUCCAUAAACUACGUGUGAGGGUUGCUAUCUAGAACCGGCAUGAGGACCAAACAGAAUUUAGGCACCAUAUAUUUUUUAAGGCUAAUUGCCAAUCUCUCUUUCAUUUAUUAAAAACCAAAGCUAAAAUAAUUCAUCUAAUGAGCAUGUCUAAUUUGCAUGGAGCCUUUAAUUCAUUGGUCAAAGCUGGCCUCUAGGCACACAUCUAAACCAGCCAAUGCCCAUUUAAUGCUUUUUGAAUCCGUGCACACGUUCAGAAUGUGCAGUCUUCUCUGUAUUCAGCCUAAAGUGGUAAAAGCUAUGCUUGGGUCCUAACUCCCUUCUUAUGUUUCUUAUUUAAGUAACUUUACUUGUUUUUCAUUCUUGUAGAUACAUACCCUCCUCCCACAGAAGGCAGGAAGUUCAAUACCUGUCUUUGCAGUCCUGACACAUCCAUGCCCAUCUGAACCACAGAAAGUCACUCCAUGAAGCCUGUGAGCACUUUCAUUUACCCAGGUGUGCAUUUUAUAGCUGAUUCUCACUGGACAGCCCGUUGGAACAAGCUACUUAAAUGCCAGAUGCUUCAGUGAAGCCUUAACAAGGGGCUUUUUUUAUUAUUAUACUUUAAGUUCUAGGGUACAUGUGCACAACGUGCAGGUUUGUUACAUAUGUGUACAUGUGCCAUGUUGGUGUGCUGCACCCAUUAACUCGUCAUUUACAUUAGGUAUAUCUCCUAAUGCUGUCCCUCCUUCCUCCCCCUACCCCACAACAGUCCCUGGUGUGUGAUGCUCCCAACAAGGGGUUUUUAUCACCAUAAUAGCCAAUUAGUGAUAUCUGCUCUCAUUCUUUCCUAAGUCAGAUAACCUAAUUCUUUUCUCUCUGUGGUGUGACCUCCUGGUUUGAUUGCUUUUAUUAGAAAGCAAGAAGUCUCUAAAUCAUUAUGUUUCCCUUUUUGCCUUGACUACCAGGAAUCCCAGCAUUUCAUUCCAUGCUCAGUGGCAGUAGGUCUCAUUACCCCCAGAUUUUUCCAUUCUAUGUGGAAGUGUAUUUCCAUUGGCAGAACUUUAUGCCUUUUAUGGUAAGCCUAUGAAAUUCUUUUUGGAAAUAAGUAGGGUUUGAAAAUGAAAUAAAAGUCACUAAGUGUAUUUUUAAUAUUUUUUACUGUACAAAUAGAUUUUGAUUAAUUGAGAAACUUUCAAGGUUGUUUAAUAUUAAAUGUGAUUUAAAAAAAUUGUAGAUGAAAACUGACCCCCAAAUCUAGGAAAUGUAGGAAAGCUUAAGUAUCCUGAAGCAGAAACCCAGCCAGUGGCUCCAAAUCUGCUUCUCACCAGUGUUUCCACAUCUGGCCUUCUUCUAUCACCUUACAAAGGUCCUGAGAAGAAAAUCACACGCUAGUUCUUAUUUUCAAGCAGUUGAAACUAAGCCCAUUAAUUUUAUGCAAAAAAACAAAAACAAAAACAGGUAUUAGAAGUACACAGAGCACUCCUGGAGCGACCAGCUGGUGCCGCUGAGGAAGCCAGGAGGCUCCGGAAGGUUCCAGAGCUGCCUUGCAGCACGGUGAGGCAAUGGCCUCCAACACCGCUGCUCACCGCUCUGCCCCAGCUGCUGGUGCAAGCUCUGCACACCCUUCUGAACAGCAGCAGGGCUGCAGGGAAUGCUGCCUGAAGGAGGUGCUGUGCACACUUCUCGCCCGACUGCUAACUUGGUGCACCCUGUUCGUUCCACAACUCACGCCCAGCUGCUGUAUGCACACUCCCCUCCGACCCGCUGAGUCAGUGUGCCCUGCGCGUUCCAUCACGACUCAUGCACACCUGCUGUGCACACUCCUUUCCCGAUUGCUAAUGGGGUGCACCCUGCAUGUUCCACGACUCAUGCACACCUGCUGUGCACACUCCUUGCCUGACUUCUCCCUGUAUGUUCCAUCACGACUCAUGCACACCUGCUGAGCUCCAAAAACACACUGGGUAGCCUCUGUAACUGCCCCAGGCAGAAAGGUGCUUUAGACUCUGAAGGGCCAGAAAAUGAUAAACAUUUUUCCAAUACAGCUGGAGACAGUCAUGAAGGUGUGAAAGACCUAAAAAGAGUAUGAUCCUUGGAAAGACAAUAGACAUUUCAGACAAAGUAAAAAUUGUAGAUUACUUGGUAGCCAACUCCAUUAUGAAGCAGCCAGUGAAAGUUCUUGAUAUUGUGAAUUAAUCAGUUGAGCAUUUCCUAAUUUUAUUGCAUUGAUUGCUAAUAUUAAGUGAGGCAUUAAUGUAUCAUUCCCUCCAAAAAAGUUGUUUAAGGUUGAGAUAAAUUUAGAAAACAUGACAUGUGUCUCUUUUCCUUGGGGGUUCUCAAUGUGCGUUACCUCUAAGAAGUCUUAGAGCAAGACAACCUGAUACAUUUAUAUAAAGCAAAAUACCCCAAACUUUAAAAAAUAAAUAUAUAUUACAUGAAAGUUGAUUUGGAAAUUUUACUUUACUCGAUCCCACAGUCGAAGUGUCAUGCCAUGGAUGCUUUGGCAGAUUUAGGAUUCUGAGAUCUCUGAGUAUAUAUCUCUUAUGACUAUCAAGGAGCUAUACUGUAGAGAAGAUCUACAAGAAAAAAGCCUACAAAAUAACCAUAAAGUUUACGUAUACCUUGAAUAACAAUAAACCACAUGCAGGCCUUUUGAAUUCACUAGGAUUGGAAGGGCUAAAGGCACUCCUAAAAUUCCUAGAGAGCAUUAGAGCGCAUGCUUCAUCGCACACAUAGCACAUGUUAUUCUGAUCACAACCAAGACGGGAAGCGGGCCCUCUGUCUCUGCUUGGGUUUGUAGUGUGCUUUGGUUUUUUUUUUUUUUUUUUUUUUUUGGCUUUUUGUUUUUAAAUCUCUGAGCUCUUCCCAUUUGCAGACACAGAUUGGCCCAUUUAUUUCUCAAAGCAAUUUUGGGGCAGAAACAUUGUCCAGGGCCCUGUGUAUUUGGUUAUGCAGGGAUCUGAGUCGGGGAAGCCCUGCGGACCCUGGGGCAGCUGGGCCUGUGUCAGUGACAAGUCUGUCCUGACAGAGCCUCAUGUCUGAACCUCCCUCUGCACCCACUCCUCAGAUGGGUCCUCACUCUCAGACCCUGCGCGAGAAGGGACUCCAGUCUCUUUCUUUCCCUUCUUUCUUUUCUUUCCUUUUUCUUUUCUUUCUUUCCUUUCUUCCUUUCCUUUUUCCUUCCUUCCUUCUUUUUUCCUUCCUUCCUUCUUUCUUUUUUUUUUGAGACAGUCUCAUUCUGUCACUAAGGCUGGAGUGCAAUGGCACGAUCUCAGCCCACUGCAACCUCCUCCUCCUGAGUUCAGGAGAUUCUCCCGCCCCAGCCUCCCGAGUAGCUGAGACUACAGGCACACACCACCACACCAGACUCAUUUUUGUAUUUUUAGUAGAGAUGGGGUUUCGUCAUGUAGGCUAGGCUGGCCUUGAACUCUUGACCUCAAGUGAUCCACCUGCCUGGGCCUCCCAAAGUGCUGGGAUUAUAGGUGUGAGCCCCCACACCCAGACACCAGUCUCUUUCAAUAUGUAUGCAGGCUAAGGGUGGCUUGCAAGCUGAUUUUGGGUGGCAAGUGGAAAACUUUUAAACGUGUAUUAAAUGCCAUCUUAUAUUUUAAUGGGAAUUAGAACAAUGUAAUGCAGGCACAUCAAACCCACAAGCCUAUGAAUAAAAUAGUUAGAAAAAUGCUAACGAAGGAAGAAAGGAAGGGAGGGAAGGAGGGAGGGAAGGAGGAGGAAACCAACAGGCACAAACACAGCAGCAGCAGGAAGUCCCUGUUUCCACCAUGCUGAGAAAACCUAACACGCAUCAUAGGAAGGUGAUGGCCGGGGCAGAAACUGAAAAUAUGGAAUUCGAAUAACUACAGUUGGGGGAAACUUAUGUUUGGUCGCACUUUUUUGAUUCUGGAGCUUAGCUCUUCCCACUCUCCAUGUUCCUUGCCUGUGACUUGGAGGAAUCAUCCAGAAUGUGGUCCUACCCACAUGCGAGGAUGGCUGGGCUUCUGCUGGUAGGGAGGCUGCUUCCUCCCAGUGUUCUUGGGCACCUGUGGCCCCACUGCCCUGGGAACACGGUGGGGAAUGAGCAUGCUAGCCCCCAGGGCUGACCCGAAAUGUCAUCCUUGCCCUUCUGUGUGUGUGCAUGCCUCCGUGUGAGUCCACAAUCAAGUCUCUCGGCAAAUGCUGGGCUGUCCUGUACCUCCUGCCCUACCUCCGUGUCUGAGCAUUGCCCCUGUGGGAGAAAUGAGACAGGGAGCGGCGUUUAGAGAUUGCGGCUGGCAACAUGGCUCUGAGCAUCCCUAAGGCAGGGGCCAGGGUCUUCACAGCUGCUUUACCUAGGGGUGCAGCAUGACCCAGUUGACAGGAAGAGGCCAGGCCCCCCGGUUGUGUUUCCGACUCUGCCCUCCCAGGAGGGGGCUCAGGCUCUGGCUUCCAGCUCCCAGACUGAGGUUCUUGUGGCCGGGACUGUCCCUGAGCCUCUUGGCAAGAUGAGAGACUUUGCCUUUCCAUCUCAAUUGAUUCUGAAUUCAGGAACUUUGGAAAUUUACCUUGAUUGUAGUGGUCAGAUUUUCCUAUUUUUCUUAGCUGUAUAAUCUGCCUAAAAGUUGACCUUUACCUUCUUUUGUUGUUGUUGUUUUUUGAGAUGCCUGGAGUGCAGUGGCGUGAUCUAGGCUCGCUGCAACCUCUGCCUCCCAAGUUCAAGCAAUUCUCCCACCUCAGCCUCCCAAGUAGUAGCUGGGAUUACAGGUGUGUGUUACCAUACCUGGCUAGUUUUUGUAUUUUUAGUAGAAACAGGGUUUCACCAUGUUGGCCAGGCUGGUCUCGAACUCGUGACCUCAGGUGAUUGGCUCACCUCAGCCUCCCAAAGUGCUGGGAUUACAGGUGUGAGCCACUAUGCCUGGCCCAUCUUUACCUUCUAUAAUGCCCCAGGGCACUAUAGUCUCACACACUCCUCUAUUCUCUUGCUCUCCAAAUUGAGAUCCCAUCAUUUUACACCACUGAUUCUUCUCUCAUGAAGUACAACAUUUCAAAUCUUUGGAUUUCAGAAAAAAAAUGCCUUCUAAAUUGAAUAUAUAAUAUCUACAGAAUAAACUAAUUUGUUCCUUACCUCCAUUGAAUCGGAAGCAUUUUAUACGGUGGCCUUUUGACAAAAAAUUGCUAAAAGAAACAAAACCAAAAAUUGGCAAAUGGGACCUAAUUAAACUAAAGAGCUUCUGCGCAGCAAAAGAAACCAUCAACAGAGCAACAGACAACCUGUGGAUUGGGAUAAAAUAUUUGCGAACUAUGUAUCCGACAAAGAUCCAGAAUCUAUAAGGAAACUAAAUAAAUCAACAAGCAAAAAAAAAAACAACCCUAUUAAAAAAUCGGCAAAGGACAUGAUCAAACACUUUCUCUAAAGAAGACAAACAUGCGAUCAACAAGGAUAUGAAAAACGUCGAACAUGACUAAUCAUUAGAGAAAUGCAAAUCAAAACCACCAUGCAAUACCAUCUCAUACCAAUCAGAAUGGCUGUGAUAAAAAGUCAGAAGAUAACAGAUGCUGGCAAAGCUAUGGAGAAAAGAGAAUGCUUAUACACUGUUGGUGGGAAUGUAAAUUAGCUCAGCAAACUUUUCCAAAGAACUUAAAACAGAACUACCAUUCAACCCAGCAAUCCCAUUCCUGCGUGUAUACCCACCCCCACUCCUCCACCAAAUAAAUUGUUCUGCUUAAAAGACACAUGCACUUAUAUGUUCAUCGCAGCACUAUUCACAAUAGCAAAGGCAUGGAAUCAAUCUAGUGCCUAUCGAUGGUGGAUUGGAUAAAGAAAAUGAGGUCCACAUACACUGUGGAAUAUAAUGCAGCCAUGAAAGAGAAUAAAAUCAUGUUCUUUGCAGCAACAUGGAUGCAGCUAGAGGCUGUUACCCUGAGAAAAUUAACACAGGAACAGAAAACCAAAUACCACAUGUUCUCACUUAUAAGUGGGAGGUAAAUACUGAGUAUUCACGGACACAGAUAUGGGAACAACACACACUGGCAACACUAGAAGGGGCCAGAGAAGAACAAGGGUUGAAAAACUGCCAGGUACUAUGCUCACUCCCGGGCUGAGAAGAUGCUAUGCCAAACCUCAGUGACACCCAAUUUAUUCAGGGAACAAACUCACACGUUAACUGAAUCUAAAAUAAAAGUUGAGUACCCCUGAAUCUAAUAUAAGAGUAGAAAAAAAAAGGUUAACUGGUAGGUGGCAAAAAGAAAAAAUUGCCAAAAGAGAAAUCUAGGGGCAGUCUUUAUUUGAAUAUUUAGCAGAGUAAUCAGUAUUGUCUCAUGGAUGAUGGGGUACAGGACUGUAUGAGCUACUGCCUCACGUGUGAAAUGGGACAUUAUUUCUACUUUGGCCCACACUGCAGGAGCACGUGGGGGCCUCCGGGCAGCCUGGACACGUGGAAACCCUGUGGCAAGACAUUUGGAGGAGCGGGAAGCUCACUCAAGGCAAAUUUGGGGGCAGCAACUAAUAUAUGGAAAAAGAAGAGGAGCUGGUAUAAAAGACGUUUAUUAAUGUGCGUGUGCCCGAUGUCCUGGCGCCACUGGCUUGCUGCAGUGCUUCUGUCUGGAAGGUUUUCAGAAAGCAAAGGCACCCACCACCUCUACCUGCACAAAGCCACCUUGAAUGUACAUCUUCCCAUUGCUCGGAUGAAGAUGAUUUCAAAAAAGAGAGUUCAGUUGUGGAACUUUAUGAGGAAGAAUACAGUUAACAUAACUGAAAGCAAGGCCAGCACUCGCUUGAAGGAAAUGCAGGAAGAGGUUAAUCUGACAAACCUGCAUCUCCAGCUCAAGUUUGGCCUCCUUCUGCUUGAGGGGACGUCAGCAGAAAGAAGGGCCCUGGCCUCAGCAGAGAAGUUAAUUCAUCAUCAUCAAAAUUAUGUAAAUAAUUCAAAUCACUUUUUAAAAAUAAAGCAAUAAAGAGAAGAAUGCAAACCAAAAUAUUUCAAGAGGUGACAUUUUGCUGUAUGUUUUCAGAUAAGACCAAACAAAUGUUGAUGUUGAGGUAAAAUAAUUCAGAAAGAACAAGUAUCAAACACAGACUUUAAAAGCACCAGCUUACUAUCGGCGUGUUUUCUAUAUUUUCCCGGGUAGCUUUCAUCUAGUGGGAUUCUAUUUAUACCGAAUUAGGUGGGCUUGCUGUGUGCACACACAUCAUAUGGCGUGCAAAGACACACACACACACUGGACACAUUCGUUUCCGGUACACAGAUUGCAAGUGAUUUCUGUUGGAAGUCAGUUGGGACUUUGCAUAGGAAGGUAUUUUACACAUAAAGAAUUUUAUGCAUUAUUGCAACAGCAGCGAAGCUCACAAAAGCCCAUUUAAGCCAGAUGUACAGAGGGCCUUGUGUGGCCUCAGUGUAACAUACAAUAUUGUCUCAAUGAUGUGUCUGUUCUGGACUGAGCUGUGAAUCUCAGGGACACAGCAUUUGUGCUUUCAUCUCUCCUCAGCCUUGGCCUCAUCCCAGCACUUGGUCAGGGUUCCUGGGGUCCACAGAACUGCCUGGAGAGGGGUCUAGAGAAAUUGUCUCCAUCUGCAUCCUUGUCAAAGUUCAGCGGCAUGAGGGGACCCCUCAUUCCUGGUGAUCAGAGAUUGAUACUUACUGGCCCAUUGCUAAUAAAAUGCCACCAAGAAUCGGGAAUUUGUUUACUAUAUUUAAAUGUUUAAAAUGUUUAAAUCUCAGAAAUCCUACCUGUGUUUAUGUAAAAUGACUUUAUAAGUAAGAUUGGGAACAGAUGGGAAGAGCUAUUUUAGUCAGUUGGUGUGUCAUGAAAUUGUGUAGACUCUAUUUCACUGUAAACCCUUUGUUACAUUGUGGGGGUGCUACAAUGUUACAACAUGUUUUCUUAGGAGGGUCGCACUUAUUUAACCUUUAAAUUGACACUUGGGGCAUUGGUCACUUAGAGUGAGUUCAAAUGUCCUGGUUAUUAUUGUGCAUCCAGAUUUAUUUCUGUAAUCUACUUUUCAUUCAUUGACUUACUGAGGUUAAAAUAGAACAUGCACAUUUAUCUGUGGCUUCAAUUCCACUUUGUUUUACCAGCACUGACUCUGAACCAGUUAAUCUAAGAAGUGACUUCUUGUUUAUGCAGGGAAGUGGAUGAAAGUAUCCUCUACACAAACACACAGGGACACACAAGAGAAUGCAGUAGGUCCUCAUUGUAAAUCUACAUGCCCGGUAACCCAAAGCGUGAAUAUCAACCUGAUAAGCACACUUUGUAAUUUUCAAAUUUAUUUCCAGGGUUUUACUGAAUGAAUAAUGUGCUGCAUUUUGUUGCAUUUCUUGGUAGCACAUCAGCUUCCUAAUUUUUUCUAUUUUUCUUUUGGGAAAUAUAAUUAAAAAUUUCCUCACCUCUCAUCUUAAUUCAUUGUAUUCCUUAAAGAUUUUUACCUUGUGCUGUAAUUAAUAAUUAUUUUGGAAUUCAAUGUACUUAUUAUAUAGAUAUCUGAAAAAUGAAGACGUUUGCCUAUCUGAAUUCAGUUCAACGACCUCUGCAGUUUCCUUUAACCCUCAAAUCAAAAAGGUGUAUUACUUAAGCAAGCAAAAGCACAGUGGAGUGUGCCUAUACAUACGUGUAUAUUUACCUAUAUUCAUAUACACAGGUACACACGCACGUACAUGCACACGCACAGUGUGCACAUACACACUAAGGUGUCCUAUAUUCAUAUACAUGUGUACAGAUGCACAUACACGCAUAUGCACAUGCAGAUGUGGACACACACGUUCACUAAGGUGUCCUAUAUCCAUAUUCAUGUGUACACACGCACAUACAUGCACCUGCACACACAGGUGUGGGCAACACAUGCUCACUAAGGUGUGAGCUGGGCUGCAUGAUAUGCAGUAUCUCCCUGGAAAUGGGAGUGCAUGCCCUUUCUCAGAAGGCCCUUGUGUGUCAUGGUCCCGUGAUGUAGCUUUUACGGCCACUGCUAAAACACUGUUUCUGAGACUUCUGUUUUAAGAGCAACAUGGAAGAGCUUCCGGCGGAGUCUUUUCUAAGUGGCGAUUCACUCUACAUUGCCCAGAGAACACCUGCUCCUGAGUUUUGUGCUCCUGUCCUCUGGGGACCUGAGCUCUCCUUGUGGCCUUUCUGAACCCACCUGUUCAAUCCCACUCCAGGGCCUUGGUCCCUUCUUAAGCAAAGAACAGCCAGUGGGACCGGAGGGACCAGGCUCUGAUUCAGGCUUGCUCUCACCAUCUCGCUUUCUUCGGUAGCCACUUGCAUUCUUUGGGCCUCACUUCCCUCAUCCACGAGACAGAGACACAGUUUAGUUGAUGGUGUCGUAGGUCCUUUUGACUUCCCCAUAAGAGAGUUAUGGAGCAGACCUUAUCUGACCUGGGAAAAGAGCCGUCAGCGAGAGGUGAGAAUGGUCCGCUUGCCACCUGCACAGGGGACAGCAGCUCUUCUUAGAAUCACCGCAGUUCUCUCCACCUUUCAUGAGAAAUGGGCACCUUCCAAAGGGCCAGGAAGGGAGAAUUCAAAAGGUGGAAUGAAAUAAAACCACUCAGCUUCGAACCACCCUGUUAGAGGGCAUCGCGUGGCAAAGAAAUCAAGGGGAAUUUUCUGGAUGUUAUUUAACCUAAUCAGAGGUUAGUUCAAUUCUACAAGUAUUUCUCACCCCUGGAGACAUGAUGGUUUCUCUAGCAGUGAUGCUACAGGGAUGAAGAUGGGAUUUAUGAAUUUUCUGGCCCUUAUUGAGGUAGGGAUGUUUCUGGGAAAAGGGCGCUGAUACCCUAACCGUAAGCUUUAGUUUUCAGAAAAUGUUUCCGAAGGUGAAUUUCUGUGGUUUUCUCUCUGUCGUGGGCUGAAUGGUGUUUCCCCCAAAUGCAUGCAUUUAAGUCCUGACCUGUGGUGCCUCACAGUGUGACCAUAUUUGAAGACGGGGUCUUUAAAGAGGUGUUUAAGGUAAAAUGAAGCUGAAAACAUACAGCUGAAAAGCGUGCAGCCAAGAUUAAAAGCGUGUGCAUGUGCCUGUGUGUCCGCAGGACUGGGGCUUUUUCUGCUGCUGGCUUUUCAGCUGCACCCAUCUCUGCAUCUGGCCCAUGGAGAACCACGAGGUACACAAUUCUUGCCUAGCUAAUUAUUCUAACUGUAUCUGUGCCCUGGUGGUGUCGAAGGACACUCUCACAGGAUCGGGUGAAAGCACUCUUCUCCCCGAGAGGUCAGGGCAUGUCUCCUGCCUGGUUUAUCUUUGUUCCCAAGUGCCAGAUGCAUCAAGCCCCCAAAAGCGUCUCCAUCAGAGCCAGUCCCCCAAACCCCAGCAGCCUCCGAGGCUCCUCGUGUGCGCAGCAGCAGGAGGGCCUGCCUGUCAUCCCGGGUCCCCGACAGAAAGUGAUGAUGCACCUCAUUUCCAUGGCCAGGGUCCCAUUGUGCUCUCUGCCUCAGUGAGCCACAGCCUGGCGGGGUCCUGGAAGAGCUUCAGGUCCCGUAGAGCAAUAAAAGAAGAUCCAAAGGAAAGAAGACAUUGGUCCGGAAGUUCCAUAUUCAAAAUGGGGGACCCUAGCCACGUCUACCCUUUGUGGGAGAGAGGAUGUAACCUAGGGAGGGGGCCACAGAACUUUAAUAAGCAGGGGUGUCGUAGGGAGAAUGUGGACAGCCACAAUGCCUGAUGAGGGGCCACAGGUACCUGCUGUAACCUCUCCACGCCAAUGCGGUAAAAUGAAGACAAUAAAUGUCGCCGCCUUGUAGUGUUGUUGGGAGGAUUAAAUGAGGCAAUGCACAUGAAGCUGUUAGGACAGGAUAAGGGCUCAGUAAAUAUUAGUUAAUAUUUAGUUCCUAUUGCCUAAGGGCCAAACGGACAAUCAGUUAAACAGACGCACUGCACUGAUUCACACCUGACUGAGCAUGUGGACCCUGCAGAGAAGGAGAGUCCCGACCAGAUGAACCUGCCAGGACACGCCUUCCCUGCAUUGUGCUAACCUCAGGGCCCGGGUUAACGUGCUGUAAAGUAGAUAUAUCCAAUCUCAUGAAUUUUUAGGGAAUAUACUCUUGCCUGGGAUGUGAGUAAAGGGCCACAUCCCUGACUCCUGAACCAGAGCGGUCUCGGCGAUGUCACAUGGCUGUGGCACACGCGGUUCUAUUUAUUUCUUCUCCAUCAAGGGUGGGGGGCCUGUUUCUGACAUGAGCCCAGACUAGAAUGUCAUUCCUUCUUGCAAAAAUACAUCAGUAUAAAUCACAUGUCACCGCUUCAGAGUCACAUGAAAAACACUCGCAAGUGAGUCCUGCAGCCCCCCCAGAAGAGACGCCCAGGACCCCGCAGGGGGGAACAGCCCCCCCAGAAGAGACCCCCAGGACCCUGCAGCGGGGGAACAGCCCCCCCCAGAAGAGACGCCCAGGACCCCGCAGCGGGGGAGCAGCCCCCCCAGAAGAGAC